GCGACUUAGAUUUAUCAGCUGCAAGUGAUGAUGAACGAACCAUAGACCAGGAUUAUGACCCAACUCAGUCUGCUGCCGCAGCUGCAGCUAAAAGUUUUCUACGGCCUCCUUCAUUGCAUGCACUUCUGGAGAAUAUGUUGGAUAAAGCUGUACCGACUAACAAUUACACCUCCUCUUCAGGUGGAGAUACUGAAGAGAAAAGUAAAGCUG
rnacentral:misc_RNA from 1 species